CCCGGGGCUCCUCCCGCGCCCCGGCCCCGCCGCCCGGCCCGGUUCGGCCCGGGGGGCACCCUGCCGCCGGCAGCGCGGCCGAGGGGACACCGGGGCAGGCGCUUGGGGGCCGCCCCCGCCGGUUUGAGCCCCCCCGCGGGGUCCCCGGGCUCCCCUGCGGCUGGAGGUGUUUCUCUGGGUUGCACUGUGGGUUACAGGAUGCUCAGAGUUCUCUGCCGACGCCUUGGCCCCUGCUCUGAAGCAAGCCCCAGGCUGCGCAGGCAGGGACCCCCGGCACAGAGCAGCAGGGUCCCACGGCAGCUCGGGAGCUGGUCCCUGCUGGUGUCUGCAAAGGUGAGCCGGAGCUUAAGCUCAGCCGAUGAAGGCAUUGCAUCGGAGUGCUAGGACCUAUGCUAAUUCUACCAGGACUGUAAGUCCCAAGGCUGUGAGCAUCAGGAGUGAUGAGGGCACUUGAUGGAAUCAUCUGGACACUUAGAAAUGCCCAAAGUCUCCCUUCAGGCCACAGGGAAAACCGGGAAGGGCAAGGAAUCAAGCCACAUUCUCCCAGCUUGCACUCAUUCUCCUUGCAGGUGGAAAGGAAGGAAGAGGAGGAAAGAAAGGGGAAUAAACAAUGGAAGAAAUUAAAUACCAACAGCAAAUUGUUAAUUUUCCAGCCCUGUCUUUCUUGAACUUGGACACUGCUAAACACCGUGGAUGUAUCAGAUGCUCCUGUGAGACUGGAAGUAUCCCUAGAAGACAGGAAUUAAGACCUUUCCCUUCCAAUUGUAGCUUUUUGUGAAACGUACAAUCUGCUAGGGAUUGUUUUCCUGUUCAGGACCAGUUUAUCAAUAAAAUCUGAGAGAUUUGUUAUUGUGUUUGUAAACUUUUCAGUUGAGAUCAGCUCUCAUGAUGUGUUUGCACAACACCUGGCGCAGCUUGGCUUUGAUCUCAGCUGCAGUACUAAUGUGCAGGUACCGUUAUUCAGCAUUUAAUACAUUUGUAAUUACCUUCCCAGCUUUCAGAAAUAAUAUUCCAAAAUGUAGGCAGUGCUGUUUUUGUGGGAGCAAAUUACCUGAGGAAACUUCUGAAAAAUAAAUGUAACAGUCCUUGUCAGUUAAGAGCCAGAUUUUGAUGCUGUUGUAUCUAUUCAGUACUAUAAGGGUGCAUACAUGUACAGUAACUUGUAAAUAUAUUAUUGUAAAUAGUUUGCUGCCUUUCAUAAUUUUGUUUUUGGUGUCUUUUGACAAAGAGGCUCACAAACCUCUGGGAGCCUUUACCAAGUGUUUAAGGAGAGUGUCAACUGGCUACUGAAACCAGUAGCCAAGUUACAGCUCAGCUACCAGGUACAGGAUUAGUGUAGGAGUUACCGAGUAAAAUUUGCAGGCUAGGGUUAUGAGGGCAAGCAGAAUGGUCACUUCUGAGCUUUUAUGUAAUUGCUUAGAAUCUAUGAAAUGACUCGAGAUUUUUAACAAUAGAAAUGAGCUGGAAACUAGAGCUUUGCCAAGGGUCAGUGUAAUAAAUGUCUUCUAUGAUGAAUGGCAACAGAA